GACUCUCAACAACGAAUAUUUCAGCUCUCAUGUUAAUGAAGAACAUCGUGAAACGUGAAUUGCAGAAUUUCAUAAACUAUCAAUCGAGUCUUUAAACGUAAGUUGCACCCCAAGCCAUUAGGCUGAGGGCACAUACGUUGACCUGUCA
rnacentral:rRNA from 1 species